rnacentral:misc_RNA from 1 species
UACGGAGGGGGCUAGCGUUAUUCGGAAUUAUUGGGCGUAAAGGGCUCGUAGGCGGUUUGUCACGUCGGGAGUGAAAACACGGGGCUUAACCCCGUGCCUGCUUCCGAUACGGGCAGACUAGAGGUAUGCAGGGGAGAACGGAAUUCCUGGUGUAGCGGUGAAAUGCGCAGAUAUCAGGAGGAACACCGGUGGCGAAGGCGGUUCUCUGGGCAUUACCUGACGCUGAGGAGCGAAAGUGUGGGGAGCGAACAGG